CCCCCAUCCCCCGCAGACACUGCCAUGGCAGGGGUUGCUGACACAGGCUUGCCAGUUACCUAUUGCAAUAAAUCUAGGUGGGCCUGAUCUGGUCCCUGGUACCGGCGGGAAGUGGAAGGAGGGUUAGCAGUAUGCACGGGGGGGCGGGAUGGACGGAGGGCAUGGCGGGGAUGAGGUUGGUUGUCUUGGAAGUCAUCGGUAUCAUACCC